CCCAGGAGCCACAAGUGGUCACCACCUUUAUUGGGCCUAAAGCGUCCGUAGCCGGUCUUGUAAAUUUCCUGUGAAAUUGUUGCGCUUAACGUAACAUCGUGCAGGGAAAACUGCUUGGCUUGGAACCGGGAGGGGUAAGGGGUAUUUCGGGGGGAGCGGUAAAAUGCUAUAAUCCUCGAAGGACCACCUGUGGCGAAGGCGCCUUACCAGCACGGAUUCGACGGUGAGGGACGAAAGCUAGGGGA
rnacentral:rRNA from 1 species